rnacentral:rRNA from 1 species
UACAGAGGUCUCAAGCGUUGUUCGGAUUCAUUGGGCGUAAAGGGUGCGUAGGCGGCGCGGUAAGUCGGGUGUGAAAUUUCGGAGCUUAACCCCGAAACUGCAUUCGAUACUGGCGUGCUUGAGGACUGGAGAGGAGACUGGAAUUCCAGGUGUAGCGGUGAAAUGCGUAGAUAUCUGGAGGAACACCGGUGGCGAAGGCGGCAUUCUGGACCGAUAUUGACGCUGAGGAGCGAAAGCCAGGGGAGCAAACGGG